AUUCCAGCUCCAAUAGCGUAUAUUAAAGUUGUUGCAGUUAAAAAGCUCGUAGUUGGAUUUUGGGUUCCGGUUUCGUUCGGUCUCCUAUUGGUAGUACUGUCGAGCCGGCCCUUCUUCUCGAGGCCUAUAUGUGCACUUCACCGUGUGUAUAUAGUGUUCGGGACUUUUACCGUGAGAAAAUUAGAGUGUUCAAAGCAGGCUUUUGCUUGAAUAUUGCAGCAUGGAAUAAUGGAAUAGGAUCAUGAUCUUAUUUUGUUGGUUUCUAAGAUCAAGAUAAUGAUUAAUAGGGAUAGUUGGGGGCAUUAAUAUUUAGUUGUCAGAGGUGAAAUUCUUAGAUUUACAAAAGAUUAACUUCUGCGAAAGCAUUUGCCAAGGAUGUUUUCAUUA
rnacentral:rRNA from 1 species